CUCUCCCGGCUUCCAUAUUUCUUUCUUCACUGUCACUUCCGUCGGCGAGAAUUUCCGUUGAGUCUGACGAUUUCUUAUUCACCUUCCGACUGAGUCCUUUACUUUGCAGGAAAAAGCCCUACCUCCUUGGACGUAAGAUGGCAGUGUGAUCUCAAGGAAUCUCGGAAAGAGUAAACAGGCUGGAGUUAUGUACAAUUAGAUUUUUCUUCAGCUAUGUUUUCAAGCAUAUUCGUUCAUCCUCAACCUCUGUAAUAACUCGCAUUGCAACUCUUCUUGUUUUAGACAAGUUUUAUUUGAUCAUUCGCUGAGGAUAAUUCGUUAAGCAUUAUUAGCGUACAGCAUGUAUGUUUAUUAUCGGUCGGAAACUGAUUUUAAGGCCUUUUACUUUUUCGUGGAUUUUCUUCAAUCGCUGAUGGCGGUGGAAGGAAGACUGAGUCCUUUACUUUGCAGGAAAAAGCCCUACCUCCUUGGACGUAAGAUGGCAGUGUGAUCUCAAGGAAUCUUGGAAAGAGUAAACAGGCUGGAGUUAUGUACAAUUAAAUUUUUCUUCAGCUAUGUUUUCAAGCAUAUUCGUUCAUCCUCAACCUCUGUAAUAACUCGCAUUGCAACUCUUAUUGUUUUAGACGUACAGCAUGUAUGUUUAUUAUCGAUCGGAAACUGAUUUUUAAGGCCUUUUACUUUUUCGUGGAUUUUUCUUCAAUCGCUGAUGGCGGUGGAAGGAAGACUGAGUCCUUUACUUUGCAGGAAAAAGGCCUACCUCCUUGGACGUAAAAUGGAAGUGUGAUCUCAAGGAAUCUCGGAAAGAGUAAACAGGCUGGAGUUAUUUUUGGUUGCUAGCACAACACAAUGCAAAGAAUGUCUUUCCGAACAAUUGUUUGGUUUGCUUACCAGUACCUUUGCUGAUCAACCUUUUAUUUUCAAGAAAUUUACGGUUCUCUUUUCUCUCAUUUAUGCGAUAUCAAAUGGAUAUGUGAUGCUUUAACUUCUCCAAUAGGAUUUCCGGCUUCGCAAUUCUAAUAUGUACGAAAUAUCGAUCCUGGUUUGCCUCUGUUUCUUAUCAACUACAGUGUUAGGAAGUUUCAUGGUGUAUUUGAGGCUACUAGCCAAGGUGACCAGAAUAUUAGUCCAUAUGCUUGGACUGCUGAUGGCAUGGAUUAUACUCCAUAUUCUGCACAGGUAUUUUAUGCAAAACACUUACUGUAUUGGAGAUGUUUAGACUUGUAUAAGAUUGUUGGAUGUUCAUAAUAUUCAGGAUCUCUUAUUAUUUUGUUGAUGAGGUUAAAAUUAAGACUGCGGAUGCAGUGCCACCUCUUGUUGAAAGAUCAGUUUAGGCCGUUCAUUUCUGACAAUUGUUAUGAGCCAAAGCAUUUUUUGGUUUGAACUGGACCAACGACAGAUAAACAGGUUGAUUGCUUUGUUUUCAUCUUCACCUAUCUUGGAGACUGUUUCCCAUCGCAAUGAGUGAGAAGUUUCUCUAAAGCUUUGCAAACUAUCAAUGUAAGAGAAGCCAGCAACAAUAGUGAGGUAUUUUCUUCAAAUAUAAAUGUUGCUUGUCUAGAUUCAAAGAAAAAGUGGAGAUCCUAGUUCAAGGUCUCCCCUACAAAUGCGAGAGAGGAUGGUGAAAAUUUAAGGAAACCAACAUCUGAAUUAAACCUUUCUAAUUCAAAUCAUUCUGGCUACGAGUGGGAGGACCUUUCUUGUACAUCACAUUCUCCUGAAGAAGAAAGCAAGUCUUGUGAAGCUCCUUCCAAUGGUUCUUGAAGACAUAGUGAAAUUGAAGAAUGUCCAUUGUUCAAAUCAGGAAAUGAAAUAUACUCUUCUUCCUAUUCUGAUGUCAAAGUUGAAGAUGAAGAGUACAAGUCAGCGAGCUGCUUUGGAGGUGAAAUGUUCCUUAGUCAAAUCUUGAAGAUGUAGCAGAAAAUAUCAAAGGCGAUGCACUUUUCAAAAGCGACUAAGAGAAUUUGUUAGAGGAUAAUCACGAGGACAUUCAGACUCUUUGGAUGAGAAUAGGGAACAGUUGUUUAGGAGCUAAUAAGGACGUGGUUUGAAUUCUGAUUGUCAGCUGUAGCUGAGGUACUUGGGCACCCCUUUUUGGUACUUAUUUAUACUAGCAGAAGUCAGAGAACUGAAGUUGUUACACGUAAAAACAAGUUCAGAAAUCAACUUAUUGCAGCAGGAGCUGGAAUGAAUCAUUCCACGUGACGAUGCUUCUUUGUUAUAGACAUUUGCUGGAUCAAAAACUAAAAUUCAAAGUUUAAAAAGCUGUUGCAAGAUGUCAGGAAGUGGCAUAAAUGCUAAUAAGAGCAGCAUGGAAGGAAAAUAGCUUCAGUCAACUAAAGAGAUGCAUGCAAUGCUUGAUGAAUCUGUAUUGAUCGUGGGAGGUUUUGAUGGUUCUUCUUUGUUAUCAAUUAUGACUUGCUGGUAUCCUUCCAGUGAUAUUAUGGGAUCUCUUCCUGCAAUGAGUUGAAUAAUAUAGUUUAGCGGCCCAUCAGUGGGUUCGUCGACCUUCAUUGAAUCAAAAGAAGGAAGUUUGGCUGGAGUAUCCUUAAAUCAUAAAAUUUUUGCAAUUGGUGGUGGAAAUGGAGUUGAAUGCUUCUCAGACGCUCGAAGGUGGAUCCAAGCGCCAUCCAUGAGACAUGAGAGAAAAGGCUAUUGAAGUCUCAACCAAUGGGAAUUGCUGCUUGGUGUCUCUGAAGCAAGGAAACGGUGUUGCGAAAUUCAAGACUAUUGUUCUUAGCUUCUCCCAUUAGUUUAUGCUUCGGUGGUCUAUAAACAUGGAACUCUCGGAAAGGGUGGUGUGUUACAAAGAGGACCGAGUUUGGGGGUUAGUCAACCCCACAGCAUUUGGCAAAAGAUGCUUUUUCUCUGCCGUCGUUUUGUAAGUUGAGCAAUUUAUGGGCGUUUGGGGAACUAGUAUUAUGCAUUAUGUUAACGAAAAGUAAAUAAUGUACGUAAGAAACUAAAAAUAUUGAUGUGAAUUGUCGUAAAAAGUUAGGUAAGGAUCGCGAUGGAUGAGGGGAGAAGCUUAAUGGACUGUUUGUUUGCAGGCUUGUAGCUAUUCUCCUUUCUAGGGAUUAUCAAGUUUAUGCAAAACUGUACCUCACACUAUUGAGGAC